UGGGGAAUAUUGGGGCAAUGGGGCGAAAGCCUGACCCAGCGACGCCGCGUGAGGGAAGAAGGUCUUCGGAUUGUAAACCUCUGUUGACAGGGAAGAAGAAAGUGACGGUACCUGUCGAGGAAGUCACGGCUAACUACGUGCCAGCAGCCGCGGUAAUACGUAGGGAGCAAGCGUUAUCCGGAUUUACUGGGUGUAAAGGGCGAGUAGGCGGAUUGGCAAGUUGGGAGUGAAAUGUCGGGGCUUAACCCCGGAACUGCUUCCAAAACUGUUGAUCUUGAGUGAUGGAGAGGCAGGCGGAAUUCCCAGUGUAGCGGUGAAAUGCGUAGAUAUUGGGAGGAACACCAGUGGCGAAGGCGGCCUGCUGGACAUUAACUGACGCUGAGGAGCGAAAGCGUGGGGAGCAAACAGGAUUAGAUACCCUGGUAGU
rnacentral:rRNA from 1 species